UACGUAGGCAGCAAGCGUUGUUCGGAGUUACUGGGCGUAAAGGGUGUGUAGGCGGUCCCUUAAGUUUGUUGUGAAAUCUCCCGGCUCAACUGGGAGGGUGCGGCGAAUACUGAGGGGCUAGAGUGCGGGAGAGGAAAGUGGAAUUCCUGGUGUAGCGGUGAAAUGCGUAGAUAUCAGGAGGAACACCGGUGGUGUAAACGGCUUUCUGGACCGUAACUGACGCUGAGACACGAAAGCGUGGGUAGCAAAC
rnacentral:rRNA from 1 species